rnacentral:rRNA from 1 species
AGUGAACGCUGGCGGUAGGCCUAACACAUGCAAGUCGAACGGCAGCACAGUAAGAGCUUGCUCUUACGGGUGGCGAGUGGCGGACGGGUGAGGAAUACAUCGGAAUCUACUUUUUCGUGGGGGAUAACGUAGGGAAACUUACGCUAAUACCGCAUACGACCUACGGGUGAAAGCAGGGGAUCUUCGGACCUUGCGCGAUUGAAUGAGCCGAUGUCGGAUUAGCUAGUUGGCGGGGUAAAGGCCCACCAAGGCGACGAUCCGUAGCUGGUCUGAGAGGAUGAUCAGCCACACUGGAACUGAGACACGGUCCAGACUCCUACGGGAGGCAGCAGUGGGGAAUAUUGGACAAAGGGCGCAAGCCUGAUCCAGCCAUACCGCGUGGGUGAAGAAGGCCUUCGGGUUGUAAAGCCCUUUUGUUGGGAAAGAAAAGCAGCGGGUUAAUACCCCGCUGUUCUGACGGUACCCAAAGAAUAAGCACCAGCUAACUUCGUG